rnacentral:lncRNA from 1 species
GGAAGGCAUGAAUGAAUGAAUCUCCAUAAAGAGCCCCAAGCAGCAGGGAGAGGGAGAGAGGAGGAGGAGGAAAGAGGAGAGGAAGAGCCGGAUCAGGGUAGCCGCAGACGCGAUGCCGGCAGCUCCGACCAUGAUCAGUGCAUAAAUCUACCUUCAACGCAGGAUGCUGGGGAGGUACCAAGGGAGAGCAGCGUGUUCCUGGCUGCAUGGUGAGGAGGGAAGGAUGCACACACAGUUCCAACACCAGUGCUGACCGUCCUGCAGGACCCCCAAUGCUGUGCCCAGCGUGCCUCACAGCCCCCACACACACCAACUAGCAGACCUUCAUGACUUCAGCGGGAGCCGGCAGCAACACACGGGCACAAAGGUAGGGAGCAACCUUCAUACUUGCAUGUCCAGAGUGAGAGAAGUAGGCUGAUGUGAGACAGCUGGGCAUGGGGAAGAGUGAUGGUGAGCUGGGUGCUGAGCAUGGACCUUCCUGGAGAAACUACGAGUGAGCUGCCACACUGCUCAGGGUGUGCAAGCAGUGCAAGUUAUCAUGGUUUUACAUAUAUUAGCUUGAAUUCACAUUCUCCUGUUAAGAUUUAAGGGAUAUAGAAAAAAUGCAUUUUUUUCUCCCCUGAAUGAGGAGCUCAGUGUGUGCCUCCAUUCCAACUUCCACAAAAUGGUGUUCUACAAAGCAGAAAAAAAAGAACAUCGGGUUCACACUGGUGCUGUAAUUUAGUUUUCUAAGCCCAGAGUUUGCCAUGUGCUUCCUGUUGAAAUGACUGGCUGUGCUGGGCACACUAAGAAGUAUUCUUCCUCUUUCUCAUCUCCACCUCAGCAUUAUGAAAAGGGUUUUCAUCAGUUCAUCGAGAGAAGGAGAUAACUUUUGUAUAAAAGUGCACAGUCGACAGGGUUGAGUUUUUGGAUAGUGUAUAAUUUAUUUUUUUUUUGCACUGUUAUUAUUUAAAAUAUGCUUUUUAAGAGGACAAAAGGGAACAGUUUAAUGGAAACAAAUUUCGACAGCAGAAUGUGCAGCUGGAUAAAAAAAGAUUAUUCCUGUUAUUGCUUGGGUAGACAAGUGAAUUUGGAAUUUGAGUACAAAAGGUGUUAAAAAGUGUGCUUAAACUUUUCUUCGGUGUGCUGUUGAGAUUGAAAAGAAUAAUUUCAGGAGAAAAACUUUUCUCACAGCCUCCAUUUCCAGCAUUGUCAAAUCUAUAGCUGUGGC